rnacentral:rRNA from 1 species
GGCUCUACGUCCAAUUGCAAAUGUAGAGUCGGACCUGCCCGGUGAAAUUUUUUAACGGCCGCGGUACCCUGACCGUGCAAAGGUAGCAUAAUAAUUUGCCUUAUAAUUGAAGGCUGGCAUGAAUGGUUUGACAAGAAUAAAACUGUCUCUUCAUAGUUAAUUAGAAUUUUAUUUAUAGGUGAAAAAGCCUAUAUACUAUUGAUAGACAAGAAGACCCUAUCGAGCUUUAAAAGAGUUGUAGUAAAUAAGACUACUUUAAUUUUGGUUGGGGCGACCGGGGAACAGAGAAAACUUCCCUAUAAAAUAAAAACUUACGUGUGUUGAUCCAGGAUUACUGAUUUAUGGAAUUAGUUACCGUAGGGAUAACAGCAUAAUCCUCUUUGAGAGCCCACAUCGAAAAGGGGGUUUGUGACCUCGAUGUUGGACCAGGACAUCCUGAAGAUGCAGCAGUCUUCAAGGGUUGGUCUGUUCGACCAUUAAAGUCCUACGCGAUCUGAGUUCAGACCGGUGUAAGCCAGGUCAGUUUCUAUCUUCAAUUUUUUUAGUGAGCUUAGUACGAAAGGACCAGCCUACUCUAAGUUUCCUUAGUUAUUCUGAUAAAGUAUAAUGGUAGUUUCAAAACGAUCAAAUUAGCAGAAAAAAUGCAGUUGACUUAGGAUCAACAGGUAUGGUGUAAGCCUUAUUUGAUAUAAAGGUGGCAGAGUA